GGGAGUUGGUAGAAUAUAGAAAGGAUUAUCCAGGUGUAGCAAACAUAUUGAUUAGGACCAAGCUGCUUCAGUACUCAAGGGUCAACAAAUCUUCUGUUGGUUUUUGUUCUAAUUAUCUUUUCUCAGGCCUUCUGCUUCAUGCCCUGUGAACCUGAUACUACUGAUUCAUUUUAAUGUAAUGUUCCCAUGGAAACAUGCUGUUGCCUUUCUGUUUCCUUAGUAAAUGCUUGCAUGGUGAGUGUCCCAAGCAUUGGACUAUAAAGAUCUGCGGUAUUUUUAGAUGCUGAACUCACAUUUCAGUGAACAUGGCGUAUCUCUGUGUGGCAACAGUUCACAAACAACACUGCUAGAAUGUGAUAUUUGUGGGUGUAAGAAGGAUAUUACUGAGAAAACUCAGACAAUGCCUGCUGGGCCCAACAUCAGCACACAGCAUACCCAAGAAGCUAUUGGGAUACACCUGCCACAGCACCUUGCUUCGACUCCCAUAACUACCCCACCUCAGCAUUGUGGUGUUUCACACCACUGCAACCACUGUGAUCUAGACUUUCCCAUUAUCAUCAUUACGUUUAUACGCCACCUUUCCUCCCAGGAGCUCAGGGUGGAGCACACAGUUCACUCCCUUCUCCGUUUUAUCCUCACAACAACCUUGUGAGGGAGAUUAGGCUGAGAGAGUGUGACUGCCCCAAGGUCACCUAGUGUCACGAGAACAAUUCUGUUCCUUUAAUACUCAAUCAACUGCUGAAGAUAUUUAGCAUGUAAGUCAUAUGACCUCAAUAAUGAUACUUAUCCUUUUUAUUUCACUUACCCUAAGUGCUCACAUGCAACCUCUACAGCAGCUUUAUAAGGUAGGUUUGGUUCAUUUCGCCAAUACAGUAUAACAGGAGGCGAGAAUGAGGGAGAUAACACUUGUCUAAGUGUCUAGAAAGCAUGAGUCUGACCAGAUUUCC
rnacentral:lncRNA from 1 species